UGUUUGCUAGGAGCAAAGGAAAAGAGCACAACUCUCGGUAUAUGGGCCACUCUUUCCCUGCUGACGACAACACCUCACAUGGCCUUUGAACACUGGCCGUGCUGGCUGGGAUCAAGAUUUGCCAUCCAGAACCUCCAGAGGCCACCCCAGGUUAGAAGAUAGUGGAAGAUGAGCAGUGGAAGCUGCAAUGGUUCUGCAGUGCGACUACCACAAUCAAAGCCCGUGGACCACAUCUGAUGGCAAUAAAUUCAAGAUUUCUAGGAGGCAAGAAAAAGGACCAAGGAGGUAUUGUCGGGAGGAGAGCAGCUCCCACGUUCUGCACUAGGCCUCGCAAGGCACUCUCUCCUGCAAGCAAAUGCAAACCUACCAAGACACACAGCACUCCAUAAUUAAACAAUCCCUGAUGCAUCUGUUUUGGGUUUA